rnacentral:rRNA from 1 species
CAGUCGAACGAGAGCGAUGGAAGCUUGCUUCUAUCAAUCUUACUGGCGAACGGGUGAGUAACGCGUAAUCAACCUGCCCUUCAGAGGGGGACAACAGUUGGAAACGACUGCUAAUACCGCAUACGAUCUAAUCUCGGCAUCGAGGAUAGAUGAAAGGUGGCCUCUACAUGUAAGCUAUCACUGAAGGAGGGGAUUGCGUCUGAUUAGCUAGUUGGAGGGGUAACGGCCCACCAAGGCGAUGAUCAGUAGCCGGUCUGAGAGGAUGAACGGCCACAUUGGGACUGAGACACGGCCCAGACUCCUACGGGAGGCAGCAGUGGGGAAUCUUCCGCAAUGGACGAAAGUCUGACGGAGCAACGCCGCGUGAGUGAUGACGGCCUUCGGGUUGUAAAGCUCUGUUAAUCGGGACGAAAGGCCUUCUUGCGAAUAGUGAGAAGGAUUGACGGUACCGGAAUAGAAAGCCACGGCUAACUACGUGCCAGCAGCCGCGGUAAUACGUAGGUGGCAAGCGUUGUCCGGAAUUAUUGGGCGUAAAGCGCGCGCAGGCGGUCUGUCAAGUCGGAUGUGAAAUCCCCGGGCUCAACCUGGGAACUGCAUCCGAAACUGGCAGGCUAGAGUCUUGUAGAGGGGGGUAGAAUUCCAGGUGUAGCGGUGAAAUGCGUAGAGAUCUGGAGGAAUACCGGUGGCGAAGGCGGCCCCC